rnacentral:ncRNA from 1 species
UUAAUUGCGGGGAACGGGAUAAGUAAGCAUAGUAUCGCUGCCAGAGAGAAAAGGUCAGCGGCUGAGAGCCUUUUCACAGUAUGAGCUCUGCUGAAUUGCACCCGGGAGCAGGUAGGCCGAAUCUUAAAGUAGGCCUAUCCGGUUAUAAGCCGUUAUAGGAUUAAGGGGAGUGCUUUUAGGAAAACAGCGCUCAAUUAGAGUGGAACCGCGGAAGAAUGCCUUUCGUCUCUUUA